UUCUACGGGGGGCAGCAGUGGGGAAUAUUGCACAAUGGGCGGAAGCCUGAUGCAGCAACGCCGCGUGCGGGAUGACGGCCUUCGGGUUGUAAACCGCUUUCGCCUGUGACGAAGCGUGAGUGACGGUAAUGGGUAAAGAAGCACCGGCUAACUACGUGCCAGCAGCCGCGGUGAUACGUAGGGUGCGAGCGUUGUCCGGAUUUAUUGGGCGUAAAGGGCUCGUAGGUGGUUGAUCGCGUCGGAAGUGUAAUCUUGGGGCUUAACCCUGAGCGUGCUUUCGAUACGGGUUGACUUGAGGAAGGUAGGGGAGAAUGGAAUUCCUGGUGGAGCGGUGGAAUGCGCAGAUAUCAGGAGGAACACCAGUGGCGAAGGCGGUUCUCUGGGCCUUUCCUGACGCUGAGGAGCGAAAGCGUGGGGAGCGAACAGGCUUAGAUACCCUGGUAGUCCACGCUGUAAACGGUGGGUACUAGGUGUGGGGUCCAUUCCACGGGUUCCGUGCCGUAGCUAACGCUUUAAGUACCCCGCCUGGGGAGUACGGCCGCA
rnacentral:rRNA from 1 species